AUCAAGGCUAGAGUCAUGCUUGAGUAUUGGCUAUUGCCUUAGUGUGCUAGAGUCCUCGAAAAGUAACUGCUGAUCUUAUUCACUAGCUAUGGGCUUUGUAGCAGUCAGUCACCAGGGUAGGAACAUGU
rnacentral:snoRNA from 1 species